GGCAGUGUCGGGGUUUUCGCCGGUCCUGUGGCUCGCUGCUUGGCCGUGGGUUAGCAGCACCCUGACCGGAGCGGAAGAGCUGCCCGCCGCCGCGUAACCCCGAGGCCGAGACUCCCGGCCUGGCCUCUUUGGGCCCACGACGCCUGCCCCGCGGAGCGGACCCAUGGGCCUGAGGUCGGCACAGACGCAACCCAGGCUCCUCCAACCUCCCACAGUGCAAUGUCCUGAAUGGAGGACCCCAGCACCCAGAAGCAUCCACUGAAGGACAGCCUUCCAUUCGCCUUCCUGUGUGGCCAGGCUGUUAAAAAGCUGCUUUACUUUCCGCUUUCUUUCCGCAUCCCUGAAAGAAACAAAAGGCAAGUGCCCAUUUGUGAAUUAGUUCUUGGGGAGCGUCUUGCCCUCUCUCUCCCACAUCAGAACCACAUUAGCCACCGUGGCCACGUUCAGUUCAAACGGGGAAGCGAACCUGCCUGGCUCCAACCCCCAGCCAGAGCCAAGGCUGUGGGAUGCCAGGUGCCUGGUGCUCUGCCCAGGGCCAGACGGCACCAAAGCUGAGUGACACCACAGUCGUGUCACGCACACACGUCCCCC